UAGAAGAUCUGAGACAGGCAGACCACAAAAACAAUAAUUUAUUGGCAAAAAGAGCAAUCAAGGUCCUGGGCCUGGACACAGGAAAGUUCACCUUCCUAUAGUCAUGGAAGCCCACGAGACAAAUUAGAUCUUCACUGAAGAUAAAAGUGUCUGACAUCUACAUUUGAACCGAUCUUCUCUUAUCUGACGGGGAACGUGAACAGUGAUUAUCCACUUAGCCCAGAUCCAUUCUCUGAUUUUUAAAAAUGUGAUUUGCUAACACAUACCAGACUUCACAUAGGGAGAAGGUGUAAACAUGGAAUCCGUUUCUUGAAGAGCAUUUCAUACAACGCCCCUGAGGAACACACUUUGGAAAAUGUUCAUCCCUGUCCAACUACCAUGUUUGCGUGAGUUUAUGAUCUGCCUGCCGUUCAUCAGCCUUUGUUAUCAGAUGAGGAAACCAAGACACAGAGAAGAUAAACAACUUGCCUGAAGUCACAAAUGGCACUACAGUUGUGAUGAGGCAAUUGCAACAUUUGAAAAGACCCCAGGGAGUUUGCAUUAAAUGCGUUUCACAAGAGUGAAUGAUGGAACAGAACACCAUGUACAAAGACACAGUCAUCCAACACCCAAGCACAAAUGGCACAAGUUAAACAUGUGACGGCUUGAUGUAUGACAGCACCCAGUACAGUGCCCAGCAAUGGACUGGAACCAAACCAGCAGAGCAAAACCAGGUGAGAGGAUACCUUGAGGACACCUUCAGCAACCCAUCUGAAACUAGAUAGCUGUCCUCUGAAAGGCAGCUUUUAUAUAACUAAGAUCACAUUGCAAUGAUGCCAAAUGUCUGAGAAACUCUUGGAAUUACACAAGGAAUUUAAAAAUAUGCAAUAUCAUUUGAAAACCAGCAGGAUACAGAGGGACAGGAGAAACAGAAAGGAAGACAGUAGAAAAGAGGAAGAGUUCCCCAAUCAAAUGCUAUUUAUUAGGAUUUCCCUCUUAUCCAGUAGUUAAAUGAAAUUUCUACAUCAAAGAAAAUCUCUGAGCACUCAGUAAUUUGUCUCUCCAGGGAACGGGAAUUCAGGCGGCUUUUAAAAAUAUCAUGGGGCCCAGCUAAUGUCCAGAAGUCAUCAUUAGAGAGCUGGAGUAGGUUAGAAGGAUGAAGUUUCGUUUGUCAGCCUCCUCCUGGUUCUCUGUAAGAGCCAUCAGUGGAUCCCGCCUAGAAGGGCUUAGCCCUCUUGAAGGGAAAGGCGCCAGCUUUGGAGCCCAGCGGUUGUCUGGUGGAUUUUAUUAUUAGAUUGGAGGUUCCACACAAUGUAAUUAAAGCCCUAUGGCCAUAGCGGCACCAAUGUCACAGGCCUGACUUUUUCUAUUGCAGCUGAUAAAUCUGCAGGCAGAUGGACAAUGUUCUCUUUCCUUUUGCCUCUGUGUGUGUGUAGGAAGAGAUGUGGAUGGACACAUCCCUCAAAAUCAUUUGGCAAGCACUAAUUCAGUUGAAAUGAUGCUUGGCAAGCUCUAGUCAUAACAAAGCAGCCUCAGAAAGGCCUGCUGACCUCUUGUACCUGUUUGGUGACUGACCGGGAGGGGUGGGAGAACAGGGAGAGAAAGGCCCAGCCUGGAAGUGCUCUCGGGGACUUUUCCUGUAAUGUGGUAAAGGAGUCAAAAAUUAUGACAAGCAAAGAGAAGCCAAACUCCAUUAAAAAAAGACAUUUUAGAUUAGGAAAAUAAAAUAAAAUAAAACUUUUGUGACAACCAAAUCAAAGACCACAGCAUUUCCUGGCAGUAUUUUUUUUUUUAAUGAACAAAAAUAGUAAUAAUGUCUAGCAAGAAUUGUACAUGUAUUAGCUACAUAAAAUCAAAACCAGGCUGGCAUGCUGGCAUUGCUGAACAGAAAAGACAGAAUUUUUUAUAAUCUUUAUUUUUAGUUAAUUUCUUCAUUCGCUAAAAUUGCCAGGUUGUUUUUUAAAAGUUGCUAGCCAAACUGCUUUGGCAUGCUAAUUAGAUAUAAAAACGAUGGACUCCGUGGAAGGGGAAAGAUGAGGAGGGAUCCAGGGCAGAUCUUCAAGGAGAGCCCAGAGAUAAAGGGCAGAACUUAAAGGAGCUAUUUUCAGUGACUUCCCUUAUCAACAAAUUCAUUAUGGAUACGUGGGAUGAAGGGUCAUGUUCAAAACAUGUAACAACUGAUAUGUCGUGGGCAUCAACAAGUCAGAAUAGCCCCCAGCUAGAAGCUACUAGAACGGUUGUACGUGAGCCCUGCCUGUGAUUAAGCCAUCAGCUCUGGGCUCUUGCUUUUAAAAGUUAAUAUCAUUUGUAAAGAAAAGGGGUAGAACACAGAAAAGAACAAGGGAAAGAAAAAUACCAGCACAGAAGCGAACAGCGUGGGAGUCCAUGUGUCUUCCGCUUUCAGCAUAACUCCCUGAUCCCGCUUCCCACCCAAACCUCCCUCGCCAGGGAAUGCUUGUCUUCUCCAAAUAUCACAUUUUCAUGUAACACCCUAAAGUAUAAGUACCAAUGCUUUAAAAAAGAUUAAAC
rnacentral:lncRNA from 1 species